GAUGAACGCUGGCGGCGUGCCUAAUACAUGCAAGUCGAGCGAACAGACGAGGAGCUUGCUCCUCUGACGUUAGCGGCGGACGGGUGAGUAACACGUGGAUAACCUACCUAUAAGACUGGGAUAACUUCGGGAAACCGGAGCUAAUACCGGAUAAUAUAUUGAACCGCAUGGUUCAAUAGUGAAAGACGGUUUUGCUGGCACUUAUAGAUGGAUCCGCGCCGCAUUAGCUGGUUGGUAAGGUAAAGGGUUACUAAGGCAACGAGGCGUAGACGAAGUGAGAGGGUGAUCGGCGACCCUGGAAGUGGACCAGCGUCAAGAGGCCUACGGGAGGGCGCAGUAGCGAAUCUUCGGCAAUGGUCGAAAGUCUGACGGAACAAGGGGACGUGUGAUAUGAAGGUCUCGGGAUCGGAAUACCGUGUUAUUAGGUAAGAACAAAUGUGUAAGUAACUGUGCCGGUCGUGACGGUACCUAGUCAGGAAGCCACGGCUAACUACGUG
rnacentral:rRNA from 1 species